GCCGGGGUAGCUCAGCUGGGAGAGCAACAGACUGAAGCCUGGGCGGAGAGGAUAUCCGAUUACGGAGCAUUCUGGAGGUCCCGUGUUCAAUCCACGGUCCUGGCA